AGCGAACGCUGGCGGCAGGCUUAACACAUGCAAGUCGAGCGGGCCCUUCGGGGUCAGCGGCAGACGGGUGAGUAACACGUGGGAACGUACCCUUUGGUUCGGAAUAACGCUGGGAAACUAGCGCUAAUACCGGAUACGCCCUUUUGGGGAAAGGCUUGCUGCCGAAGGAUCGGCCCGCGUCUGAUUAGCUAGUUGGUGGGGUAAUGGCCUACCAAGGCGACGAUCAGUAGCUGGUCUGAGAGGAUGAUCAGCCACACUGGGACUGAGACACGGCCCAGACUCCUACGGGAGGCAGCAGUGGGGAAUAUUGGACAAUGGGCGCAAGCCUGAUCCAGCCAUGCCGCGUGAGUGAUUAAGGCCUUAGGGUUGUAAAGCUCUUUUGUCCGGGACGAUAAUGACGGUACCGGAAGAAUAAGCCCCGGCUAACUUCGUG
rnacentral:rRNA from 1 species